UUUAAAGAAAGGAAAACGAAACUGCUCCACCGCUUCUUCACUCGAAACAUAGCUUUCCCUCCGCCUUCACUUGACCAAAACUGUCCGCCGGCAAAACGUAGCUCUCUCUCCGCCGCUUCUCUUAACUCACAGCAGGUUUCACAGGUUCGAAAAGGAAAUCGCAGUUUCUGAUUUCUAUUCAGUUUCAAUAAAUUUCGAACUCCAUUUUCCAUUUCAAUUUCAACUUAGGGUUUCAAUCAAUUUCUCUAGUUAGGGUUUCCUUCUUCUUAUGAGUGACCUGAUUUGUCAGUGAAAAUAUUUUCAAAUGUAGCAUUCCGCGUGCAUUGUCUGUGCUUUUUGUAGGACUGGUUAGAUGAUUAAGUGCAUGUAGUGCUGGUUGAUUGUUAGAAGAUAGGAGUAACAACAAGCAAAAAUCAUUUGAGGUAAGCUUUCUGACUUAUUUUUGAGUUUUAUUGAGUGCACUUAAACUGUUUGAUAAAAGUUCUCUAUGGUUGGUUUUCCUUAUUAAUCUAGAAAUACAAGAGUUUUUCAGAUUUUUAACAAAGAAUCUAGAGACAUUGAGUUUUGUGACAUAGAAAUAUGAAUAUAGAAUUUGAUUGAAGGAGACGUUUUAUGAUAAAGUAGUACACAAAGUGGAUAAACAUUUGGACAUGAUCAUAUGAUAGGGUCGUUAAUUUAUUUCUGACAAAGUGGAUCCAGGAAUUUUAGUAAGUGUGGUCAAAAUUAUAACGUAAUAAAAUAUAAAUUGUUAUUUAUAUAAUUUUAACAUUUUCUUAUACAAAAUUACUUAUUUUGGUUUAUUAGUCAAUACUCUUAAGAUACUCAUUAGUAUUAUAAAUUAGUCUUAUUAAUUUUAUAUUUGUUAUAGUGCAAUAAAUUGACUAUAUAAAAACGAUAAUACCAAAUAUAUGGGGUCACAUUGCAUAAAUAAUACUAGUAUUAACUAAAAAUAUAAUAGGCAAGUGGGGUCAGGCAAGUGGGGUCGGCUGACCCCACUGCCCCCACACUAAAUCCGUCCCUGAGUCGACAUUCCGAAUAUAUGAUUUGUUUUUAGUUACAUUUUGAAUAUAUGAUUUAAUAAUUUAGCUCCAUCGUUCAUGCUUUUACUUUCCUAUGUUAAUUUGUGACUCUAAGGUUGUCCACUGUUGUUGUAGUGACCAAUCAUAUGUAUAUGACUUAGCACAUACUAUAUAAAUUGCGUUUUUUGACAAGACUUUGUAAAACAUUAUUUCUUCCAAGACCUUUUUAAUCCUAAGCGCCUUGAACUAUUAUGAUGUCAAUUGGUAAGGGCAUACAAUAAUUAGUAAGUGCAUAUAAUUGGUAAGUGCAUACAAUAAUUAGAAGCUGAUACAAUAAAAUUGAAGCAUAAUAUGAAAGUAACAUUUCUUGAGUUUGAUCAUGUGAAUGAUGUUUACUUAAAAUAUAUGUACCUCAGUAUAUAUGUGUAUUUGUCGGUUUGUUAAUGUUUAUUUUUGUAUUCCUUCACUUUGAUAUCUUAUUGAUUUUGAUAUCCUGCAUAUUGUGUUUUAAAAUGAUAACAGUAACAUAAUAGAUUCUUUGUGAGUCAAACUCAUGAUAAGAGUUAGAGUCUCUAUUAGUGUUUCAAUUUAGUCUUAUUUCUAUAUCUAGAAAACUCAGUCCCUAAAUUGUCAAUUAGUGUUCUCACUAAUUGCCUUGUUCUGUUCCGAAUUCUGUACUUUAUAGUGUUAGGCUUAGUUUCAACGUUUUAACAGUUUUAGAUCUGUUAUAUAUUUUUGUAUCAGAAUGUAUGAAGUCUAAUUUUAUGAAUUAUCAUUGCAAACUUGUUCAGCUAUCAUGAAUAUUGAUAAGUCUUGGAUUUUAAUUGCAUUGAUGAUGAGUAUGUGGAAUUGGCUACAAACCAUAUCGUUGGUGACUUUGAAACAAAUGCGCACAUGUCUGAGUAGAUUAGUAUAGUUUAUUUUGUUAUUUAGUUAAAGGUAAACAGUUUUAAUGUAGUUAAAGCUGUGGUUAUUUUGUUUUGAAGUUGUUAAUUUUAUUCAUUUUGUAUUACCUCAUGUAUGAAGUCUCAACCUCUCCAAUUCAGAAGGAUAUGUGAGUAUACGGCAGGGAGAAAAACUUCUCUUUAGGGUUAUAGUGUAAUCGUCGCAACUCCCAAUUCCGUCUCAACCUCACCAAACCGUCACCAACGAGUAUUGAAUUGUGUGAACGUGAACCUGUAGCCAUGAAAUCCCGAUGGAACUUCUAAGGUAUGAUUAUGUAAUUAAUAAACAGUAAUCUCAAAUCCUUCUCUUUCGUUGGUAGAUCUGAGAUUCUUACUCGGAACAAAUUUUUAGGGUUUUUUACUUCUGAGAAGUAGAAGCCGCUAGUUAUUCACACUUUCAAAGGUAACCUGCUACUCUCUCUCACUAACCAAUACAAUUUUCAUCGGAACAAAUUUUUAGGGUUUUUGAUUUACUGUUACUUAUUAUAUUAGAUCUAUUUGGUCGAAUGGUUCAGAUUGAGACGUGGACAAAGAAUGUUGGGAUCGCCUCUGUUGAAGCUUGAACUUCGACUAACACAUGAGUUGAGGUAAUUACUUGAAAUAUUUCGAUGUUGCGCGUUUGGUUAUGAAAUUUUGAUUGAUUUGAUUUUGUAGUAAAAUGUUGGUAAUCAGUGAGAUUAGAAGAAUCAGAUUUAAGUGGCAGUUAAAACCCCAGCUAGAUUUCACUGUCGCAAAACAUUUCGGGGAGGUUAAAAAUCCCCGUAAACUGGCUUUAAAACCCCCUCUAAAUAGCGCAUUUUUUAUAGUGGUCUAUGUUUAAAUCCAUACUUAAUCUCCACACUUUUUUCCUUCAUCAACGUUUUAAACCAUUGAAUUUUCCUUAAUAAGGUUUUUAAUAAGAGUGUUUCUUACACCUUUAGUCUUGGUCUACUCCCUUACGUUUAUUUUAUGUUUCAAUUUGGUCCCUUACGUUUUUACCGUUUGUAAUUGUGUAAGUUAGUCCUUUCUGUCAGUUUUGUCACAUGUGGCAACUAGUUUGCAUAUGUGGACAGACACGUGGACACUUGGACACACUGACACGUGUAUAGUUCAAAUGGUGUUAGUGACAAAAUUAACGGAAAAGACUAAAUUGAAACCUAAUUGAAACAUAAGGGACCAAAUUGAUACUUUUUAAACGUAAGAGACCAAAUUGAAACCUAUAAAAUAAACGUAAGAGACCAACGUAAGAAACCUAUAAAUAAAAACUACUAAAUUUCAUUGAUGAAUUAUCUGAUACAAGGUAAAAUAAACUAACACAAACAUCAAAGACAUCCAUCCAUUUGCUAAUAUAACAAGCACCACUAGAAAAUAACAUAAUCUCACACCAUAACAUUAUUUAACUAGGACAGUUAAACACUUGCAAAAAGGUUGAAGGAAAAAAUACACCAAUCUUAAUAUAUUUCACAUAACUUAUAAUGCUCAUAUCAAAUGAUUCUUUUACUAACUUUGACAUUCAAGCCAUGUUUCAUGCGAAGAAGAAUAGAAAUCCUUGGAGUUACAGAAUGACCGUCCACAACUUGUAGGCAAAAGUUCCAUAACAUAGCAGCAGCAACCAUUUUCAUUUGAACAAAGCUAAUAUCUUUCCCAAGACAACUUCUAGGACCUGCAUUGAAUGCUAUGAACUUGUAAGAUGGUUCAUGUUUAAUUUGUCCUCUCUCUGAUAUCCAUCUCUCCGGCUUAAAUUCCAACGAAUCCUUACCCCAUAUUUGUUUCAACCUUCCCAUUGCGUACAACGAGAAUACCAACUUUGUAUUUGGACUAACAUGUUCUCCACUAGGUAAUAUAUCAGAUUUGAUUGCACACUUGUGUUGAAAUGGUACAGGAGGAUAAAGCCUCAAGGUUUCACAUAUAGCUCCAUGAAGGUACACUAGCUUAUCAAGUUUUUCUAUGCUUAAAUCAUCUAUCAAAUUCUCUUGUGUUAGACAAUUAUCUUUGAUCUCUUGAAUGAUUUUGGCUUCCACAAUAGGAUGAGUUGAAACAAGCCAAAAGAACCAACUGAGAGCUGAACUAAUUGUUCCAUUUCCUGCACCCAGGAGAUUGACCGCAGUGUCUCUAAUAUACUUCUCAUUCUCGACUAAACCUUCCGUUUUUAUUAGCGCCUUGAGCAAGCAAGAAUGAUUUUCAUACACAUCUUCGCUGCUUCUCAAUCUUGUUUUCUCUUCAUCGCCUGUUAAAUAUAGUAUACAUUUUGACAAGAAUUGGUGAAGAUUUUCUUGUGCUACCUUGUUCGUCUUCUCUUGACCAAUUUGUAGCCAUUUUUGUAUCUUCCAAAUAUAUUUUGGAAUAUAGUGCCUUUUAAAUUGCGUAUCCUCAAUCACGGAAAUGGCUUUUAGAUAAUCUAUCUCUGAUGAGAACUCGUCAAACUUGUAAGGAAGACAAUUAGGAUCAAAUCCAAAUAACGAAGUGCAUGUAAUAUCAAAGGUGAGCCUCUCAAGAAUAUCUUGUAAAUCAAGUACUGGUACACCUUUAGAAGCAUGAUGAUCAAGAAAUGGAAUGAGGCAAUUCUCCAGCUUCUUUUGAAUAAUUUGUUGAAAGAUUAUCUCAAAGCUUUUGAUUUUCAGUAAUGUAUGAAGCAUUGUCCUCUCUUGUUUCCAUUCAUUGAAAUCUAAAUUGAAAAUACCAACACCGAGAUGUGGUUCACAUUCAUAGGAUCACUAGUGAGGAUAAAGUUAGCAAUAUUUAUGAACCAAGGUCCUUUAAUACGAUAAGUGCUUCCAUAAUGUUUAAAUCCUAAGGUUACAUAAUCAUGANNNNNNNNNNNNNNNNNNNNAUGGUUUCGCCACAUAUAGUAGAAUAUGAUGAAGAGAGUGGCUACAAAUAAUGUAAUAUACUGAAACAAAGUCAUUGUUUUAAGGCUAAAGUGGAUAUGUGAUACAAGUUAUGUCUUUGUUCUUGUUCAAAAAAAGUUAUGUCUUUGUUAUUCAAGUACACUAAUAUAUAUUCAAAUUUAAAUGUGUAUAUUUAUGAUGAGUGGAGCAACAUCAACCACCCUUUUAACCAUACUAUCCAAGCUUUGGAUUUUGGAUGGGUUGCAUUUAAAUAAGUUGUUGAAGUAGGUAGGACUCAAUUUGUGACUGAGGAGAAAUAUGUCAGUUUUGAAUUGAAUAAUUAUAGAAAUAUGGGCUAAUGUUNNNNNNNNNNNNNNNNNNNNNNNNNNNNNNNGACAAGUGAUAUACCGAAUAUGAAUUUUACGAAAUUCACUGUUGGAUUGAAAGUUUAUAUCGUAUAGAUCAUCCAUAAAUUUUUUAAAUUUUUUUGAAAAUCAUUUGAUAUGUUAUUGAGACUUAUCAAAAUUUACGUUAUUUAAUAAACCGUUAAUCUUGAUGUGUCUCAAUAACAUAUCAAAUGAUUUUCAAUUUUUCUAAAUUUUUCUAUGAAUGAUUUAUAUGAUAUAAAUUUUCAAUCCAACGGUGGAUUUUAUAAAAUUCGUAUUCGUUAUAAUAUUAUUCAUGACUGGUCCACCAUGGUCCACUUGAUGAAGUGGUCUAUAUUAGAAUUUCCCAGUUUUGAAUUGAAUAAUUUUGGUACUCUAUCAGUGUCCUUUCCUGUAUAUCAUAUAAUGCAAUUUUGACCAGUCAAUUCAUAAAUAACAAUAUAUGGGUGUUAAAAAAUACAAUUAACUGAACUAAAUUGUGAAUUAAAUUACAUUGAACCAUAUUUUAAAUUGAACCAUCUGAUAUGGUUUCAAAUUGAACCACCUUUUAAAAAAAGGUUGUCGCAGUUUGAAAUAUUUUGUUAAAAAAAAAAAAGGCUGCGACAGUUUGAAAUGACUAGUAAUAUUUUGUGCUUCCUUCACAGUUUUUAUGCUUCUCCACCAUCAUGUUGCGGAAGUUCAUGAUGGUAUCAUAGCUCUUCUGAGUUCUGUUGCGCAUCGCUUCUCUUUCUGUAAUGGCUUGAGAUGGUUCCAGCACCGCCGGUGGCAAUGCCACCACCAUUGUUUACGGUGAUCGUCCAUAAAAUCCUGGUGAUGUUUACUAUGUUCAUGCAUUCGAUGGUCCUUCUUGGGCGCANNNNNNNNNNNNNNNNNNNNNNNNNNNNNNNNNNNNNNNNNNNNNNNNNNNNNNNNNNNNNNNNNNNNNNNNNNNNNNNNNNNNNNNNNNNNNNNNNNNNNNNNNNGAAAGACAAAAAUUCUACUACAAAGAUUAGUAAAGAUGAUUGUGACCUGGUAGUGCCAGGAUCCCUUAAGAUAGGGGUCGGCCAUGUUAAAUAAAAAAAGCGCCUUUUAGAAAGUCAAUUAUAGUAUGUAUACAUAUACACAUUAUAGUAUAUACGUCUAAUAUUAAAAUAGAUCAUGAAGUGUAACUUUUAGAAAUCUAUAGAGACAACUAAAGAGAAAGCAAAGAUGAGCGGCUGAACUAUCCUCACGGCUGUUUGCGUGUCUAGGAUUUUGGUUUCCACUAUAUGUUAACUGUCUAAUGGAUGACAAUUAUAUGGAUUGGGGUUCGAUGUGCAGUCUGCCACAUAUAGACCGUCUGAUCUAUGUCUGAUCAUAGAUUAGACGGUCCAAAUUUUAAGAUCAGAUUUCAUAAGUAAAAUAGAUCUUAAAAUCUAAGCCGUCUGAUCUUGAUUGGACAGUCUAAAUUUGUUGACUGCAUGCAGUCACACUGCCCAUAGUCAUCAGCCUGUUAUUUUAUUUAUGAUUUUUUUAAUCUAUGUAAAAUGUUCAAAUGCGACAAAUAUCGUGAAAGACAAAGGGUGAGUUAGAAAAUAGGGGAAAUUACACUAACCUCUCUGAGGUUACUUUAAAUAACACAAACACCUUCUCUAAUUUUAAAACAUACACUAACCUCCCUGUAGUUUUUAUUAAGGGUCCGUUUGGUGCACAGGAUAUGAUAAUGAUAGGAUAGGAUAUAAAACAGGAUAAGGAUAGGAUAGGAUAUCAGCAGGAUAACAAUUAUCCUCAGUUAUCCUAUAUUGUGUUUGGUGCACACAGGAUAACAAACAUGAUAACUAAUAUAUCANNNNNNNNNNNNNNNNNNNNNNNNNNNNNNNNNNNNNNNNNNNNNNNNNNNNNNNNNNNNNNNNNNNNNNNNNNNNNNNNNNNNNNNNNNNNNNNNNNNNNNNNNNNNNNNNNNNNNNNNNNNNNNNNNNNNNNNNNNNNNNNNNNNNNNNNNNNNNNNNNNNNNNNNNUUUAUUCAUCUACGAUCGAAAAAACUAAAAAUAUCGUAAUCAAAAUGUAAUGUCUUCAAUCCCACAUUGAUCAAUAUUGUUGUUUCUACACAUCUUUAACUCUUGUAUAGAUAUGUCUAAUAUGUGCCUAAAGAGAGUAUAAGCAAAGAAAAAAUAAUUAUUUUUUGGGACACUUGUCCGACACGUGUCAUCCGAGUGUCUUACAGGUGUCGGACACCGAUUAAAGGAGUGUCAAACUAAAGAAAAAAAUUGAAUUUUUUCCGACACCGAUAUGAGCUAUUCGACACGUGUCGGACGAGUGUCAUACGAGUGUCGGACACCGACACGUGUCGGACACCGCGACACGCCUAAUGAUAGAGGUGUCGGUGCUUCCUAGCAAACACCUUCUCUAAUUUUAAAACAUACACUAACCUCCCUGUAGUUUUUAUUAAAUAGACACACAACUCCCUUUUUGGUUAACACCAUUAGAUUCUCCGUUAUAUAACAAAAGCUGAAGAAGAAAAAAAAACACAGAAUUUCAAUCUCAACCAGCAGCUGCAAAUCAAUGUACGUUGCACCUCUAAUAAUAUAACUACACUAAGAUUUGGAAACACGAGACUUUUGUUGCCUUUAGGAAGCAAUUGUUAUUGUGAUACUAAAAAUGCAAAUGAAUCAAUAAGAAUGUCAGAAAUACUCAAUCAAAUGGUUUUCUUUUGCUGACAAUCACAAUUUGUUUCAUAAUUUAGUACAGGUUGCAACUUUUCCAUUAAGUAGUACAUGCUUUAAUUGGAGCUUCGUGAGAAUUAAAGGGAUGAGAUGAGGUUAGGCUGGAGCAAUCUGGUUGAAACGAAUGACAAGAACAACAACAACGUAAACCCCUCGAUACGAACAACAAGAACGGUGGUGCAAAAACGGACGAGAACGAGCAAGCACAACAGUAGGAAGAUAAUUUCUUGAGAGAAUGGAAGGGUUUCAGUUUUUAGAGUGUAUUAUGAAAGAGAAAACCAAAAGUUUCUCUUUUUUAACGGCAAUUUGACGGGAGUAUAACUAGAGGGGAGGUUUACAAUGCUUGUGAAAAUAGAGGGGAGGUUAGUUGCAUUUAGAUCAAACUUAG
rnacentral:lncRNA from 1 species